UGGUUGUGGCUCAGUGGUAGAGCACUCCCCUAGCAUGCAUGAGGCACUGGGUUUGAUCCUCAGCACCAA
rnacentral:tRNA from 1 species